rnacentral:rRNA from 1 species
UGAUACCUCGGGGCGCAGCAGUGGGGAAUAUUGGGCAAUGGGCGCAAGCCUGACCCAGCAACGCCGCGUGAAGGAAGAAGGCUUUCGGGUUGUAAACUUCUUUUAAGAGGGAAGAGCAGAAGACGGUACCUCUUGAAUAAGCCACGGCUAACUACGUGCCAGCAGCCGCGGUAAUACGUAGGUGACAAGCGUUGUCCGGAUUUACUGGGUGUAAAGGGCGUGCAGCCGGGAAGACAAGUCAGAUGUGAAACCCCGCGGCUCAACCGCGGAACUGCAUUUGAAACUGUUUUUCUUGAGUACCGGAG